AAACAUAAUCUAAUUCCACAAUAUUGACAGGGUAAACGGUUCGGCCCGCUUAGAAUUUCGGAUUCGACCAUGUAAAUCCAACUCCACCGGCCCAUUUGAAAUUAGGGUUUCUCUAUAAAAUCCUAGACUUCGCUCUUCUUCUUCACUCAUCUACAAUCCAUCAGUGGUAAUUCCUUCGCCCUAGAUCUCAGUUUGAGAAUUUCAACCAAAUUCCCUUCGUUUUUUCCUAAAAAUUCAUUCGAUUCAGAUCGAACCCUGCGUAUCCGCAGCUUCAAUUUUUGCAUGUAGCAACCCGGGCUCCUCUGAAAAUUCUCUCAUGAAGAAAGAAGUCCCAAAGCUCGUGCUAGAACGACGCCGUUUAGUGUUGCAGAUUUGCCGCUGUACCUUUCUUACGGCCUAUUUGUGUCAAAACAACGGCAACAUUCCCUCUCUGCGAUCUGAAUUUCUCUCUGUGUCAAUGUUUAUUGCUUCUGAUGAUGAUUAAAACAUUACUUUCGUUCUUCUGAGAAUAUUUUCGUGCGGAAGAUUUAUGGAGACCUGAACUGAAGAGGCUUUCAAUUUUACUAGUUAUAUGUUUUAUUAAGGUUUUUAAUAGCUUCAUUACAAUAUUUUUUUCUGAGAUGAUUUUAACUGAGAACGUUUUUUUUUAUAUUUUUCUAAAAAAUUGAAAUUGUAAAAUUUGAAUAACUAUUGUAUUGUUAUCACACAUGGGUUUUUUAUGGACUUUUUUUUCUGUUAUAUUAUUCUCUCCUUUGAUAUCCAUGGGGUUUUAUUGUUCUCAUUGAUGAUAUACACAGAUGACGAGUCUGAUAUCCAUUCUUAUAAAUAUUGAUGACAAUUCGAGGCAUUUGUCUGAGAGGUUCAAUAUUACCCCCUUUUUUUUUUCUAACGUUUUAAUAUUGUUUUUAUUUAAAUCUGUAUGAAUUAUGUGUUACAUUUCUGCAAUUGUUUAAAAAUAAACUCUGUUGAUGAUGAAUAAUUACACUUUCUCAAAAUUUUGUUAUGCAGUGUAACGAGAUCUCAAAAUAAUUAAAAUAUUCUUCACUUGGCUUCCUUCUCGUUCUCGCAUUGAUGAAUGACCAACAUCCUUUUUCCCGAUCUACAAUUUCGAGCUUGUUUCUGUGGAGAAAUCAAUAUUCUAUGAACUCGUGCACUAGAAGCCUUUCCUCUGCGAUCUUCAAUUUCGAGCUUGUUUUUGAGGAGAAAUUAAUAAAAAAGAUAUAAUGAUGGAGAAAUUAGUGUGGACUUAAUCAAAUAUUUGUGAUUGUGUGGUAUUAAAUUGUUAUUGAAGUGAGAGUUUAUGUUGUUUAUAAUCUUGAAUUUACGAUUAAACACGUCUGUGUUUAUGUUUAUUUGACUUUCAUCUUUGUAAAAUCAUGAAAAUUGCGGACUUUAUUUGAAAAAAGUUGAAAGUUGAGGUUAUAAAAUAUUAGUCUUUCAAAUUA